rnacentral:rRNA from 1 species
UUUCCCUCAGGAUAGCUGGCACUCGCUCUGAGCGAGUCUCAUCUGGUAAAGCGAAUGAUUAGAGGCCUUGGGGCCGAAACGACCUCAACCUAUUCUCAAACUUUAAAUGGGUGAGAUCUCUGGCUUGCUUGAAACUUGAAGCCACGAGAUUAUCAUGGAUCAGAGUGCCAAGUGGGCCAAUUUUGGUAAGCAGAACUGGCGCUGUGGGA